UGCUGUUGUGGAUCUGCUGACAACUACAUUCUGGUCUGUUUCAUAUAAAGAAAAUAAUAGUGUGGAGAGAAAUGUAUACAUAACAUGAAAUUAUCAGUGACAAAUAUUAUACAGUAUUUAUGAUACAGUUUUAAAGUACUGUAGAAUACUUUCUGAGGCGUCUACGUGACGACAUCAUGAGAGAAAAAAACGACGGCGCCGCACUGAUAUCCAUUGUCCAGAACUUGCCCAGAUCACAUCGGCAUAAAGGCUAAUUAAAGCGCGGAACCACAUGUAUGGGAGAUAAGGAGUACUGUUCCACAGUCCUUUAACAAUAACAUCUACAUAGAUGCCAUCUGUGUUUCGAGGGGCGUUCCUAAUGAGUUUAAAGCAAGGAAUCAAAUUUACGCAGGAUUCGAGUCAUCCGUCUUCUGGUGGGUCACGUUCAUAAGAACGUGGACUGGAUGAACUAUAUACUGUAUGCUACAAUCUGCAAAGAUUCAUAAAUUUCACCAGAGAUCGUCUUAAAAGUACAGCCAAUCAACUGGAUGCCACAAGCCUCAGGGCAUAGCAAAAUAGAUUAGCUCUAGAUAUGCUUCUGACAAAAAAAGGAGGUGUGACUUUAAUUGUGUUUGUGUAGCUUUGCUAUGUACAUGUCUAAUAUAUCUACACUUUGUUCACUAAAUAAAGGGAUAUCUGUUGCAUAUAUCUGAGAUAUAUAUACACAUAUAUACAUAUAAUGUAUGUAUGUUUUAUUAGCACAAAUUUGUAUAUAAUCACAUGCGUAUUUUAAUAGUAUAGAGAAAGCUUAAGGAAUUUUGGUGGCAAAAAUAACCAUGUUUUUGUACAUAUACAAAACCCCAUUGUGUAGAGUGUGUACUCCGCUUUCCUGCAGCACCCUGUGUGUCUUACUCCCCAUGGGUUAUGUGUCUUACUCCUCAUGGGUUACCCCGUGUGUCUUACUCCUCAUGGGUUACCUAUGAGUGUGUCACUCUGCAGAGAAUAAAGUUAUUUACUGUU